GGAUGCGAUCAUUCCCGCACUAAAGCACCGGAUCCCAUCAGAACUCCAAAGUUAAGCGUGCUUGGACGAGAUUAGUACUAGGAAGGGUGAUACGUCUCCAACGUAUCUA
rnacentral:rRNA from 2 species